rnacentral:rRNA from 1 species
UACGGAAGGGGCUAGCGUUGCUCGGAAUUGACUGGGCGUAAAGCGCACGUAGGCGGCUUUCUAAGUCGGGGGUGAAAUCCUGGAGCUCAACUCCAGAACUGCCUUCGAUACUGGAGAGCUCGAGUCCGGGAGAGGUGAGUGGAACUGCGAGUGUAGAGGUGAAAUUCGUAGAUAUUCGCAAGAACACCAGUGGCGAAGGCGGCUCACUGGCCCGGUACUGACGCUGAGGAGCGAAAGCGUGGGGAGCAAACAGG